rnacentral:rRNA from 1 species
UAGGGAAUCUUCCACAAUGGACGCAAGUCUGAUGGAGCAACGCCGCGUGAGUGAAGAAGGUUUUCGGAUCGUAAAGCUCUGUUGUUGGUGAAGAAGGAUAGAGGCAGUAACUGGUCUUUAUUUGACGGUAAUCAACCAGAAAGUCACGGCUAACUACGUGCCAGCAGCCGCGGUAAUACGUAGGUGGCAAGCGUUGUCCGGAUUUAUUGGGCGUAAAGCGAGCGCAGGCGGAAUGAUAAGUCUGAUGUGAAAGCCCACGGCUCAACCGUGGAACUGCAUCG